rnacentral:sRNA from 1 species
GAGGGCGGGACAAUAAUCCGCUCUCCUACGCGGUCAAAGUCUUGGGAGGAUGCGAUCUAGGCGCGAUUUUCCGCAGCCGCCUUAAUACGGAAACAGAUCGGACGCGUUCAAAUUGCAAGGCUUCGGCCUUGCAUUUUUU